rnacentral:rRNA from 1 species
UGGGGAAUUUUGGACAAUGGGCGCAAGCCUGAUCCAGCCAUGCCGCGUGAGUGAAGAAGGCCUUCGGGUUGUAAAGCUCUUUCGGCGGGGACGAAACGGUUCGUGACAACACCACGGACUAAUGACGGUACCCGCAUAAGAAGCACCGGCUAACUACGUGCCAGCAGCCGCGGUAAUACGUAGGAUGCAGGCGUUAAUCGGAAUUACUGGGCGUAAAGCGUGCGCAGGCGGUUUGUUAAGACAGGUAUGAAAUCCCCGGGCUUAACCUGGGAAUUGCGCUUGUAACUGGCAGGCUAGAGUGUGGCAGAGGGGGGUGGAAUUCCACGUGUAGCAGUGAAAUGCGUAGAUAUGUGGAGGAACACCGAUGGCGAAGGCAGCCCCCUGGGUUAACACUGACGCUCAUGCACGAAAGCGUGGGGAGCAAACAGGAUUAGAUACCCACGUAGUCCCUGAGCGGGCUGGCAAGGCGCAU